rnacentral:rRNA from 1 species
GAUCUUAGUGGCGGACGGGUGAGUAACGCGUGGGCAACCUGCCUUGCACAGGGGGAUAGCAGUUGGAAACGACUGGUAAUACCGCAUAUCUUAGAGAGACCGCAUGAUCUUUUUAAGAAAACGUUAGUGGUGCAAGAUGGGCCCGCGUCCGAUUAGAUAGUUGGUGGGGUAACGGCCUACCAAGUCGACGAUCGGUAGCCGACCUAAGAGGGCGGACGGCCACAUUGGGACUGAGACACGGCCCAGACUCC